rnacentral:rRNA from 1 species
UACGGAGGAUGCGAGCGUUAUCCGGAUUUAUUGGGUUUAAAGGGUGCGUAGGCGGGCUGUUAAGUCAGCGGUAAAAGCCCGGGGCUCAACCCCGGCGAGCCGUUGAAACUGGCUGUCUUGAGAUGUCGAGAGGUAUGCGGAAUGCGCAGUGUAGCGGUGAAAUGCUUAGAUAUUGCGCAGAACUCCGAUUACGAAGGCAGCAUACCGGCGGCGAUCUGACGCUGAGGCACGAAAGCGUGGGUAUCGAACAGG